GAUGAACGCUGGCGGCGCGCCUAACACAUGCAAGUCGAACGGCACCUAUCUUCGGAUAGAAGCGAGUGGCGAACGGCUGAGUAACACGUGGAGAACCUGCCCCCUCCCCCGGGAUAGCCGCCCGAAAGGACGGGUAAUACCGGAUACCCCGGGGUGCCGCAUGGCACCCCGGCUAAAGCCCCGACGGGAGGGGAUGGCUCCGCGGCCCAUCAGGUAGACGGCGGGGUGACGGCCCACCGUGCCGACAACGGGUAGCCGGGUUGAGAGACCGACCGGCCAGAUUGGGACUGAGACACGGCCCAGACUCCUACGGGAGGCAGCAGUGGGGAAUCUUGCGCAAUGGGGGGAACCCUGACGCAGCGACGCCGCGUGCGGGACGGAGGCCUUCGGGUCGUAAACCGCUUUCAGCAGGGAAGAGUCAAGACUGUACCUGCAGAAGAAG
rnacentral:rRNA from 1 species